rnacentral:lncRNA from 1 species
GUGCAUAUCAGCAGCAGGUGCAGGCCUGUGCCCCCACGGGCGCCUGACCGGGGCCUCUGUGCUGCAGAGCGCAAUUUAAUCCGGAUUCAGUCCAGGCCGAGUGCUGACAAACCUGCCUCCCCCGGGGGUUGGGGCGGCUCAGGCUGUGCGGCAGGAAGUGGCAUAGGGCCUGUGCUCAGAGCACCUCUGGGCUCUUGCUCGGCCUGCCGUCACCCUCGGAACUCUUAAUACUCUUUUGAACAGGAACCCCACAUUUUCAUUUCAAAUGGGGCCCCACCCAUCGCGUCAUGGGCCCCUCUAGGGCGAGACGCCAGGCCUCCCCGCCAGCGGGCUGGAAGCAUCAGGCCUGCCUGCUCGGAGGGAGAGCAGAUCUUCAUUUGAGUGGGAGAUCGGGGGACUACCAGAGAAGGAGGGGCUGGCCGACAGAGUGGCUGGGGUGCACCAUGCGCCUCCGCCCAGGGGCGGUGCGGGCUGAGACAUUCUUUCCUUCCUACCUCUUGCUCUUCCCUCCCUCAGCCCAGCCUGCCCUUCUCAUUUCACAGCGCUCAUCGUGCUUACUGGGACGGGGUCUAAACUGAUGCUGGACAGCCUGCCCACGGGAGCUCCCUCACACCCCUGCCCAAGGACGGAAUUGGGCCCCAAGUCCUCUGGCUUCACUGAGUUUAAAGCAUCUCAGUUCACCUUAACUUGAAAAUGUGAAUGAAACCUUCCUUGGGAACUUACCAGACAUUACCUAAUCAGAGGAACCAAAUGCUUUUCUAAAUACAGCAGAAGCACCCGGCAGAGGCAUCGGGAAGGCUGGAGAGGCCCCCUGGACUGAAGACCCCACGGCAUUGAGACAGAGUCUCAAUCUGUGGCCCAGGCUGGAGUCCAGUGGUGUGAUUAUAGCUUACUGCAGCCUUGAACUCCUGGGCUCAAGCAAUCCUCCUACAUCAGCGUCCCAGGAGCUGAGACUACAGGUGUGUGCCACCAUACCCAGCCAAUUUUCCUAUCUUUUUGUAGAGAUGGGAUCUUUCAAGUUUGUCCAGGCUGGAGUGCAAUGGUGUAAUCAUGGCUCACAGUAGCCUCAAACUCCUAGCCUUGAUAUUAUACCUGUUAAGGUGAUCAGUAAUCUUUGAUGUUACUAUUGUAACUAUUUUGGAGCACCAUGAACUAACCCCAUAUAAGAUGGUGAACUUAAGCAAUAAAUGGUGAUAUAUUAAGCAAUAAAUGGUGAUUUAUAAGCAAUAAAUGGUGAUUUAUCCUGAUUGCUCCAUGGACCAGCUAUUACCUGUCUCUCUCCCUCUCCUCAGGCCUCCCUAUUCCCUGAGACACAACAAUAUUGAAAUUAUGCCAUUUAAUAACCCUGUAUUGGCCUUCUAAGUGUUUGAGUGAAAGGAAGAGUUACA